UUUUUUUCAAUUUCGUUGACUUGAUCGGCGAGCGUAAGCAAUGCGGCGUUCGUGUUAGCUUGUGGCGUUAUAUAGACUCCAGCCAGUAUGAAUGAUGCGAACUCACGUGGCGAGUAGAAAGGUUUACAGUUUAAGAAUAGCGACUCCAAAUGCGGGCUGCAGUGUGUGCUGAGCACCGUGACGUCCAUACACCAUUUUUCGUUGAUAUAGAGGCAUAUCCCGCCGCCCUUUGUUUUCCCCAAUGAUUCCAUGUCGCGGUCCGCCCGAUGAAUGUGGAAGCCGGGGAGCAUGACGCCGCCAUCAGGUACAGCAUAGCAAAGCCAGGUCUCCGUGAAGCACAUGGCCGCGGAACGUCCGAAGUCUUUCCUGGUCUUUAACAGAAGAUGAAGCUCGUCCAUUUUGUUGGGUAGGGAGCGUACAUUCGCGAGGUGGAUCGACGGGAACGCCAAUCUGUGUCCUCUCUUGCGGAGUUUCACCUGAAUGCCGGCUCGCUUCCCUCUGUGGCGCCGCUUCCGUCUUCAUGCGCCGAAAACCGCGGACGCCGCUCCGUGGCUAUCCUAUACAUUCCUGCGCUGGAUCACUUGGUGGCGCUCUAAAAUGAUGUAGUGGAAAUGACGUAUUUUACCUGCCAACGGGCAGGCCCAUUUAUGGACAGCGCGCAGGUCGACUGAGCCAUAGAGAAAGGAGAAAGCAUGCGCAGGAAGUCUUAACCCUGCUACGCUGACGACUCUCAACACUACACCGUCUUCCUUGAAGAAAUUGAGGCUGGAGGACACAAAACAUUCUAUGUGGCAAAAAAUACUUCUACUGAACACAAGUGAUGGGAUUCAAUCAUAACAUUUGGACUGGUCACAAUGUUUCACCUCAACUAC